AGCAGCCGCCGCGGGAAUACGGAGGGUGCAAGCGUUAAUCGGAAUUACUGGGCGUAAAGCGCACGCAGGCGGUCUGUCAAGUCAGAUGUGAAAUCCCCGGGCUUAACCUGGGAACUGCAUUUGAAACUGGCAGGCUAGAGUCUUGUAGAGGGGGGUAGAAUUCCAGGUGUAGCGGUGAAAUGCGUAGAGAUCUGGAGGAAUACCGGUGGCGAAGGCGGCCCCCUGGACAAAGACUGACGCUCAGGUGCGAAAGCGUGGGGAGCAAACAGGAUUAGAUACCCGAGUAGUCCCUGUCUCUUAUAA
rnacentral:rRNA from 1 species